AGGUAUAUAGUGACAGUUAAAGAGUGUCGCUAUAACCUAAAAGAGUGCUGCUAAUUUACCAACACUUAUUUAAGUAUUUAGCAACCGCCGAAACUCUAUCUCGUUGGCUGCGGUGGCGGAGGAGGACGACAGGAAAGGCUCUUCGUCUAGAAUUUCAGUGGAUUGAGUGAAAAGAAAAGAAAAGAUGGUAAUUGAUUUUUCUUUUUUUUUUCUUUUCUGUUUGUAAUCGGGCCAAAUAGACUGGGUGUGGUGGGUUGAGUAGAGUAAUCUUUUAUUUUUGAUUGGAUUGGGCUUUAUAUUUAGGUAUUAGUAGAUGUUUUUUUAAGUUUUAGGAUAAAUGGGACACUUACUCAAAAGUGUCCCAAACAUGUGUCCCUAUAACCUAAUUCUGUUGUAGUGAUGUAUAUAUAUAUAUAUAUAUAUAUAACUAGGCUACUAUGCUAUUAAUAGCACCAAGUCAUUGGUGCUACCAAGUUUUUGGCCAUUGGAUUAAGAGAUGUGUGGUUAGGAUGAUGUGGGCCCCCUAGGGUUGAGUGGGUGGUUAGUUGAAUAGAAUGAUCUAAGGGGUGAAAAUAAUCAAAAGGGUAGAUCUAACGGUGGAAAACUUGGUAGCACCAAGUGCUUCAUGCUAUUAAUAGCAUAAUAGUCGGACUUUCUCUCUCUCUCUCUCUCUCUCUCUCUCUUUCUCUCUCUCUCUCUCUCUCUCUNUCGGCCAUCUUCUCCGGAUUUGGAGGACCACGUUCGGCCGAUUGGAACUGCCGUUGGGAACCGCCCAUAACCGCUUGCAGUUGUCACGCGGCUCAUAUCUCCUGGCGCAUUUUUCCGUGCUCCCGAUCCAGCGCUUUGAAUCCUGAAUAUGGAUAUGAACUCAGUGUGCCAACUGUCCGCGCCGGAUUGGUUCAACAUAUAUAUAUAUAUAUAUAUAUAGUCCGGCUACUAUUCUAUUAAUAGCAUGAAGCACUUGGUGCUACCAAGUUUUCCACCGUUAGAUCUACCCAUUUGAUCAUUUUCACCCGUUAGAUCAUAUUAUUCAACCAACCACCCACUCAACCUUAGAGAGCCCACAUCAUCUUAACCAUACAUCUCUUAAUCCAAUGAUCACCAAUGACUUGAUGCUAUUAAUAGCAUAGUAGCCUAGUUAUAUAUAUAUAUAUAUANNNNNNNNNNNNNNNNNNNNNNNNGUAGAUGAUUAUGGAUUUAUAUUUCGGGUUAGGUUAGUUUUUAUUUUCUAAUGAGAUGAGUUGGGUGGUGUGGGUCAGAUAAACCGGGCUAAUGUUUGUCUUUUCUUUUUUUUUUCUUUUUAGUUAAUGGUAGAAAAGAAAAGAAAAGUGAGUUAGGUGACUUUAAGAUCUGCUUCUCGGAAAGGACAGCAGGAGGAGGCGGUGGCGUCGGUUGCUCUAUCUCAAAGCCGCCAACGAUUUAUGAAUUUAUUCACAACCAUUUAAUCGUCGUGAGAAAAUCCAAUAUCGCUGUGAGAAAUUGACAGUGAUAUAUGGAUCGCUGGGGUUUAUAUCGUUGUGAUAAAUUUUCACAGCCAUUAAAAUGUAUAUCGUUGUGAUAAAUUUUCACAGCCAUUAAAAUCGAUCGUCGUGAAAAAACUGUACAUGGAUGUAAAUUUUCACAGCGAUAUCUGGCAAAAACAACAUCACAUAUAUAUUUUUUUUAAGUUUUAGGAUAAAUGGGACACUUACUCAAAAGUGUCCCAAACAUGUGUCCCUAUAACCUAAUUCUGUUGUAGUGAUGUAUAUAUAUAUAUAUAUAUAUAUAACUAGGCUACUAUGCUAUUAAUAGCACAAAGUUAUUGGUGCUACCAAGUUUUUGGCCAUUGGAUUAAGAGAUGUGCGGUUAGGAUGAUGUGGGCCCCUUAGGGUUGAAUGGGUGGUUGGUUGAAUAGUAUGAUCUAACGGAUGAAAAUGAUCAAAAGAGUAGAUCUAACGGCGGAAAACUUGAUAGCACCAAGUGCUUCGUGCUAUUAAUAGUAUAGUAGCCGGACUUUAUAUAUAUAUAUAUAUAGUCUGGCUACUAUACUCUUAUGAGUACGAUCGCCCUCGUACUAAUAAGUUGUUUUCAAUGAUAGAGCUUCCGAAUCGACGAUCCAUACCGUUAAACAUUAUGUAGAGCAUUUAAAACUUCUAGAAAUUAAAUUUUAUAAUUUUAUAAUUUAACAAUGUCCGAUCCAUACCGUCAAAAUCGAACAACGUCCUAAAAAUGGAUGAUCGGAUUUUUCAAUUUAAGAUCGGAGUUAUUGAUCAUUAUCUAGGUAGUGAAUAGAAUUUUCUAUCAAAAAUUCAACCUAUUCCAAUUCUUUUACACCGUUAAACUAGCAAGUAUUCCAUACCGGCCGUUAAAAAUUACCAAUUUUGUGAGCUUUUGAUCGUAAGAUAAAUGAUGUCAAAAAAUUAUGAAAUUUGAUUUCUAGAAGUUUUAAAUACUCUGGAUAAUAAUUAACGGUAUGGAUCGUCGAUUCGGAAGCUCUAUCAUCGAAAACAACUUAUGAGUACGAGAGCGAUCGUACUUAUGAAAGAGUAUAGUGGCCGGACUAUAUAUAUAUAUAUAUAUAUAUAUAUAUAUAUAUAUAUAUAUAUA
rnacentral:lncRNA from 1 species